rnacentral:rRNA from 1 species
GACGAACGCUGGUCGGCGUGCUUAACACAUGCAAGUCGAACGGAAAGGCCCUGCUUUUGUGGGGUGCUCGAGUGGCGAACGGGUGAGUAACACGUGAGUAACCUGCCCUUGACUUUGGGAUAACUUCAGGAAACUGGGGCUAAUACCGGAUAGGAGCUCCUGCUGCAUGGUGGGGGUUGGAAAGUUUCGGCGGUUGGGGAUGGACUCGCGGCUUAUCAGCUUGUUGGUGGGGUAGUGGCUUACCAAGGCUUUGACGGGUAGCCGGCCUGAGAGGGUGACCGGCCACAUUGGGACUGAGAUACGGCCCAGACUCCUACGGGAGGCAGCAGUGGGGAAUAUUGCACAAUGGGCGGAAGCCUGAUGCAGCAACGCCGCGUGCGGGAUGACGGCCUUCGGGUUGUAAACCGCUUUCGCCUGUGACGAAGCGUGAGUGACGGUAAUGGGUAAAGAAGCACCGGCUAACUACGUGCCAGCAGCCGCGGUGAUACGUAGGGUGCGAGCGUUGUCCGGAUUUAUUGGGCGUAAAGGGCUCGUAGGUGGUUGAUCGCGUCGGAAGUGUAAUCUUGGGGCUUAACCCUGAGCGUGCUUUCGAUACGGGUUGACUUGAGGAAGGUAGGGGAGAAUGGAAUUCCUGGUGGAGCGGUGGAAUGCGCAGAUAUCAGGAGGAACACCAGUGGCGAAGGCGGUUCUCUGGGCCUUUCCUGACGCUGAGGAGCGAAAGCGUGGGGAGCGAACAGGCUUAGAUACCCUGGUAGUCCACGCUGUAAACGGUGGGUACUAGGUGUGGGGUCCAUUCCACGGGUUCCGUGCCGUAGCUAACGCUUUAAGUACCCCGCCUGGGGAGUACGGCCGCAAGGCUAAAACUCAAAGGAAUUGACGGGGCCCCGCACAAGCGGCGGAGCAUGCGGAUUAAUUCGAUGCAACGCGUAGAACCUUACCUGGGUUUGACAUGGAUCGGGAGUGCUCAGAGAUGGGUGUGCCUCUUUUGGGGUCGGUUCACAGGUGGUGCAUGCCUGUCGUCAGCUCGUGUCGUGAGAUGUUGGGUUAAGUCCCGCAACGAGCGCAACCCUUGUUCACUGUUGCCAGCACGUUAUGGUGGGGACUCAGUGGAGACCGCCGGGGUCAACUCGGAGGAAGGUGGGGAUGACGUCAAGUCCUCAUGCCCCUUAUGUCCAGGGCUUCACGCAUGCUACAAUGGCUGGUACAGAGAGUGGCGAGCCUGUGAGGGUGAGCGAAUCUCGGAAAGCCGGUCUCAGUUCGGAUUGGGGUCUGCAACUCGACCUCAUGAAGUCGGAGUCGCUAGUAAUCGCAGAUCAGCAACGCUGCGGUGAAUACGUUCCCGGG